GAUGAACGCUAGCGGCAGGCCUAACACAUGCAAGUCGAGGGAGAAGCCUUUCGGGGCAGAAACCGGCGCACGGGUGCGUAACGCGUAUGCAACCUACCUUUCGCAGGGGGAUAGCCCGAAGAAAUUUGGAUUAAUACCCCAUAAUAUUGUUGGAUGGCAUCAUCUGAUAAUUAAAACUGCGGUGGUGAAAGAUGGGCAUGCGUCCUAUUAGCUAGUUGGAGUGGUAACGGCACCCCAAGGCUACGAUAGGUAGGGGUCCUGAGAGGGAGAUCCCCCACACUGGUACUGAGACAGGGACCAGACUCCUACGGGAGGCAGCAGUGAGGAAUAUUGGUCAAUGGUCGGAAGACUGAACCAGCCAUGCCGCGUGCAGGAAGAAUGCCUUAUGGGUUGCAAACUGCUUUUAUAUGGGAAGAAUAAGGUGUACGUGUACAUUGAUGACGGUACCAUAUGAAUAAGCAUCGGCUAACUCCGUG
rnacentral:rRNA from 1 species